AAAAAACAUAUCCAAGAGGAGAUGGUGAAACAAGAGAGCACAGGGUCCUUGUUCUACCCCCAGAUCAAAGCAAGGAGAGGAGGAGCAAGAUGGCAAAAUAGAUGGCUCCACUGAUCUCCACCUGCCAACAAGGACAUCAAUAUAACAGCUAUCUACACAGAAAAAAGCACCUUCAUAUAAGCAAAAUGCAGGUAUUAAAUUAUGAAAUAUAUAUAUGUCUUCAAAUCAAUUAAAUAUAAAAGAAGACAUACAUAUGGCCAGUGGGAAUAUAAAAAAUGCUCAACAUCACUAAACAUCAGGGAAAUGCCAAUUAAAACCACAAUGAGAUAUCACCUCACAUCUGUUAAAACGGCUGUUGUCUAAAAGACAAAAGAUAUAUAUUCAAAGGAAACGAAGUCAGCAUGUCAAAGAGAUAUCUGCACUCCCAUGUUCAUUGCAAGCACUAUUUACAAUAACCAAAAUAUGGAAUCAACCUAAGUGUCCAUCAAUGUAUGAACAGAUGAAGAAAAUGUGCUCUAUAUAUACAAUGGAAUACUACUCAGCUAUUAAACAGUAAGGAAAUCCUGCCAUUUGAACGACAUGAACGAACUUGGAGGACAUUAGGCACAGAGAGACAAACACUGCAUGAUUUCACUUAUAUAUGGAACCAAAAAGUUGAACUUUAGCAGAGAGUGAAAUGCAUUUCAGAUCUGGUUACUGUGAGCCAUUCACUCAUUUAACAACUACUCAUUGAAUAGUGACUGGUUUGUUGAGUGCCUACAAUGUUCCAGCUGUUAUUCUAAGAUAUCCAAGGAAGUGUGGUUGUCCUGAGAAGUCAACAGCGGCAACAGUCUCUUUGGAGACAGGAACGAACAUGAGACCAAGAUAUGUUCAAGCAGGGAGAAGCAUAAAUGCCUGGGUCUAUUAUUCCAGAGUAGAACCUGGUUCUAUUGUCCAGUCAACUGUAAUUGGCUCACCAUCCCCUGAUGAUAUAUAUUCAUCAUGAUAUCAUGAUCAGCACUCCACUGAAGCACAAUAAAAUAGGAAAGGCCUGCCUAUGUUUCUUGAAACUUUUAUUUUAUUUAUACAAUAUAUACACAUAUAUUCAUACACACUGUUUCAUGAUACAUUUAUUUCUUCCUGUGGUCUCACUUAGAAAUAAAACUAAUUAAACUGCCAAACAGCUCUCCUAUUGGGAUUCUGCAUUAUUCUAUAAAAGCCAGAGUUAAUAGGUUUGAGAAACAUUGUUUUGAGGGAGAGCAACUACACUAGUAGUUUUUUCUCUAAGAGCAGAGAUGAAUAAAACUACUGACUCAUGCAAUUUCCCAUUGCCAUACUCUAAAAUUCCUCAGUGUGAAUCUAAUCUGUGAAAGACAGCUGUAUCUCACUUUUAUAUAUUUGUAAUUAUUAAAAAACUACUUCACCAUAGACAAUGUGGCGUGUCUACAAACAAGGGUAUGGGCAUGUGUGUGGUUAGUGGUUAGAGGAUAGUCAACUUAGGAGGUUAAUAUUGGUGGUGCCUAAUUAUGAAUACACAUCCCAGCAAUGGUUGACCAGCUCUUAAUCUAGUACAGUGACUCAAUCCUGGCUCUACAUUAAGAUCAUCAGAGGGCUUUCAAAAAUAUUUUAGCAGUUAUACUAUUU
rnacentral:lncRNA from 10 species